UACGAAGGGGGCUAGCGUUGCUCGGAAUGACUGGGCGUAAAGGGCGCGUAGGCGGUUCGUCUAGUCAGGCGUGAAAUUCCCGGGCUUAACCUGGGGGCUGCGUUUGAUACGUACGGGCUUGAGUUCGGAAGAGGGUCGUGGAAUUCCCAGUGUAGAGGUGAAAUUCGUAGAUAUUGGGAAGAACACCGGUGGCGAAGGCGGCGACCUGGUCCGAUACUGACGCUGAGGCGCGAAAGCGUGGGGAGCAAACAGG
rnacentral:rRNA from 1 species